CAGUAGCCACGGCAACACGUAAGGUGCGAGCGUUGUUCGGAAUUAUUGGGCGUAAAGGGCAUGCAGGCGGUCGUGCAAGCCCGGCGUGAAAGGUGGGGGCUCAACUCCUAAACUGCGCUGGGAACUGCAAGGCUUGAGUUUCUGAAGGGCAGCCGGAAUUCCACGUGUAGGGGUGAGAUCUGUAGAUAUGUGGAAGAACACCAAUGGCGAAGGCAGGCUACCGGCAGAAGACUGACGCUGAGGUGCGAAGGUGCGGGGAGCAAACAGGAUUAGAUACCCCGGUAGUCCCUGUCUCUUAUAC
rnacentral:rRNA from 1 species